rnacentral:tRNA from 1 species
GGGUUGUGGCUCAGAGGUAGAGCACUUGCCUAGCACGUUUGAGGCCCUGGGUUUGAGGCCCUGGGUUUGAUCCU